AGUGAACGCUGGCGGUAGGCCUAACACAUGCAAGUCGAACGGCAGCACAGUAAGAGCUUGCUCUUACGGGUGGCGAGUGGCGGACGGGUGAGGAAUACAUCGGAAUCUACUUUUUCGUGGGGGAUAACGUAGGGAAACUUACGCUAAUACCGCAUACGACCUACGGGUGAAAGCAGGGGAUCUUCGGACCUUGCGCGAUUGAAUGAGCCGAUGUCGGAUUAGCUAGUUGGCGGGGUAAAGGCCCACCAAGGCGACGAUCCGUAGCUGGUCUGAGAGGAUGAUCAGCCACACUGGAACUGAGACACGGUCCAGACUCCUACGGGAGGCAGCAGUGGGGAAUAUUGGACAAUGGGCGCAAGCCUGAUCCAGCCAUACCGCGUGGGUGAAGAAGGCGUUCGGGUUGUAAAGCCCUUUUGUUGGGAAAGAAAAGCAGCAGGUUAAUACCCCGCUGUCCUGACGGUACCCAAAGAAUAAGCACCGGCUAACUUCGUG
rnacentral:rRNA from 1 species